rnacentral:misc_RNA from 1 species
UGGUUAGAGCGCGCGCUUGAUAAGCGUGAGGUCGGAAGUUCAAGUCUUCCCAGGCCCACCACUUUCAUCGAGUGAGCAUUCGUCUUCUGGUUACGGGGCCAUAGCUCAGCUGGGAGAGCGCGUGCUUUGCAAGCAUGAGGUCGUCGGUUCGAUCCCGUCUGGCUCCACCACGCUUCGCCUUUCAGGCUUCGCGUGGCGCAGCCAAGCACGGUCGAAGCGUGCCCGGCGUAGCUCACUUGAGCGUAGACGGGCUGGUUGAGAUCAGCCCGUAACCAUCACCGUCCGCGAAACAUCACUUCGCAUCCUGCUAGUCUGGAUAGACAGCAAGAUGCGUGUUUUCUGACAUCGUAAAGAGGAGAUCGAUCCGAGUUGGGUCGUGCAGCAGAUUGUUGCGCGAAUCCUUCAUUAUCUCCGGAUCAUUUUCGGCGCUCGCUUUCAGCCGUGAGGUUGAAUGCGAGUUGUAAAAUGAUCCUUUUAGCGAAGCUUGACCGCCUCGCUAUCGGAACGAUCUUACGAAGCAAGCUGGUCUUUCUAGUCAAUGUCCGGCUGCACGUAGCAUUCAUCGAGGGUGCGCGCCGUAAGGCAAUCGUGCAGACAACAUUCUGCCGAGUGUGUGGACAUUGAUAAUGAGAGCAAUCAAGUGCCUUAAGGGUGUUCGGUGGAUGCCUUGGCGCUGAGAGGCGAUGAAGGACGUGCUACGCUGCGAUAAGCCGUGGGGAGCUGCGAAGAAGC